rnacentral:rRNA from 1 species
AAACGCUUGAAGUCAGUCACGUCGGCUUGAAAUCAGCCUUGCUUUUGCUUGGUGUACUUUCUUGUUGACGGGUCAACAUCAAUUUUGAUCACUGGAGAAAGAUUUGAGGAAUGUGGCACCCUCGGGUGUGUUAUAGCCUCUUGUCAUAUACAGUGGUUGGGAUUGAGGAACUCAGCACGCCGCAAGGCCGGGUUUUUAACCACGUUCGUGCUUAGGAUGUUGGCAUAAUGGCUUUAAUCGA